rnacentral:rRNA from 1 species
CCCUUAGAUGUUCUGGGCUGCACGCGCGCUACACUGAUGCGUUCAACAAGUGUUAACCUUGCCCGAUAGGGUUGGGUAAUCUUUUGAAAGCGCAUCGUGAUGGGGAUCGAUGACUGCAAUUGUUCAUCUUCAACGAGGAAUUCCUAGUAAGCGCAAGUCAUCAGCUGGUACUGAUUACGUCCCUGCCCUUUGUACACACCGCCCGUCGCUACUACUGAUUGGACGUUUAAGCAAGAUUUUUAAACACUGACAGUGUGUAGUUCACGCUAUACUACAGUGAGAAGAAGAAGAUCGAGCUUACUUGUCUAGAGGAAGUAAAAGUCGUAACA